rnacentral:misc_RNA from 1 species
GCUGAAGCCUUCCUUAAAGCCAUAUAAAAAAUUAAGCUUUUUAUGUUAUUUGAUUCAUUCAGUUAUAAUUGCAAAAAAUCGAACCGAACUGAAAACUAAAAAUCCUAAAAUUAUACAAUCCAAUUAAAGCAAAUGGACAAAAAAACUAAAUCGAUCAUUCUAAUUCGGUUUGCUUUGGUUUGAUUUUUCUGUUUAAACCAAAAACUGUUGACCCCUAUCUAUCAUUGCUAAUAGAUCUUAAGUGAAUAAAUUCUCAAAUCUGUCUUUGGUAGAUCUCGAGUGUUUUGUUGUGCUUCUCUACUUUAAUAAAGUUAUUCCUCCUUAUGGAGAAGUUUUUAUGUAUAUUUGUUGGUGACUUCUUUUGUUUUUU